rnacentral:lncRNA from 1 species
AAUUCAAUUAGGAGUUUUCAGGACCCUCCUGAAUAAUGAGACCUAGCUUUAAAAUUUUCAUUAGAUAACAAGAUUUAGCAUAAGUUCUGUUAUAGGGUAAUAUAAUUUAGCCUUUAAAUUGUCGUUAAUUAAGAGUUGUUAGGACCCUCCUGGAUAAUGGGACAUAGUUUAAAACUGGCUUAGAUAACAAGAUUUAGCAGAAGUCAUGCCUUUAAAAGAUAUAGCUUAGAUUUAAAAUUGUCGUUUAGUUAAGAGUUGUCAGGACCCCCCUGGAUAAUGGGACCUAGCUUUCAAAUACUUAUCAAUAUUUGGUAAUAUGCUUUAGUUUAACACUCACAAAUGCGCCCAGCUACCAAACUGGGGCAGAAAAUUUUCUUUUGUUUUGGCUAUUUUUGUUGAAAUCAGGCGUCCACCUGGAGAACAAGGAACAACAGUUCAAGUAUCAACAAUCAGGCGUCCACCUGGAGAACAAGGAAAAAUAGUCGAAGUAUCAGCAAUCAGGCGUCCAUCUGGAGAACAAGGAACAACCGUUAAAGAUUCAGUAAUCAGGCAUCCAUCUGAAGAACAAGGAACAACAAUUCAAGUUUUAGCAAUCAGGCGCCCAAUUGGAGAACAAGGGAGUACAAUUCAAGUUUUCGCUUUCAAGUUCUUACUGAUGUUUGGUAACAUGAUUUAGUUUACACUCAUAUAUAUAUAUAUAUAUAUAUAUAUAU